UUUUGACUAGCAAAUAGUGGUUAACCAUUUUCGUGAUCGGUCAUCGGAAGUAACACGUGGCAAGACGAUACACGUACUCGUAGCUAAGAGUACGUGUAAAGGUAAUAUUAUUAGAAAAUAAGCCAAACGCAUGUGUGUGUGUUACUAUGAAACUGGGUAAAGUUAAAAAAACGGGGACAAAGAAAUUAUCGAGCAAACCAAAACCAAAGUAACGCGCUACAAGCAAGCCAAACGUCAAACCGUCAAAGUGUUGGCUUUUAAUUUUCCUGGAUCCCGUACAUGUGUGAUCGAUCUUGAGGGUUUGGCAAGGCGUGAUAGUAAAUUUAGAAAGUAUAAUCUCACUGAUAAUUCCAUUUUCCAUUUCUUUCCAGGUUCUCCAUCGAAAUCUGCCACCCAUCAGGAACGAUCUCGCACAGAUGCACACCCAAAGGGCUACGAAAUACUAUUUCUCGUAACGCAAUCAAACAAGGCGAUCUCAUCAACAAAACUCCAAGAAAAAUACACACACACAGAGUCUAUAUGCGCAAGCGAGUAAAUCUGGGACGCAAAUGCACGGGCAGCGAACGAAAUUUUGUUUUGCUAAAGAAGAACGCGAGAUCGAGAAGUACAAUGGUACAAAAUGGCGACCGUGCGCCGUGUGAUAUUCUGUCGUGUGAGCUAAGGGCUGGCAAACCACUACUCUACACAGAAAACGAAAAUGAAACAGUAACGUGUUCUUGCAGAAGGUUGUGGUGUGUUUUUUUUAAAGCAAAUGCCAUUACUAGUAGUAAGAACGCUUCAAUGUAUACACUAUGCAUAGGCUCAUUCAUUCGCAGAAAUAGGGUUUUAUACCGUGUGGCUCUAAAUAGGCGAAAAAUGGCGGAUGGGGAAGGUUAGAAUGCAAAGAGUCGAAAACGGACGGACGGACGGGGUGGAUUGAUUUGUUUGAUUUGUUGAUUGAUUUGGUUGGCUUGGCACAGGCCUGGCUGUGGCGGUAGACAAACGGACACUUACCAUCUUAAUGUCACUGAUGGUCAUAAUGCUUCGAACGAACAGAUUGAUACGAACGAUCGCCGGACCAUCUGGCGAGUUGUGGGCGUGUGUUGGGGCGUGAGAUUUGGGUGGAAUUUCGUUUGUUGCAAUUUUUGUUUUAGAAAUCGUGAACAGAGUAUAAUUUUGUUCGAUUCGACAGUGUUGUUUUUUUUUUUCAAUGAUCGAUGGAGUAUGAUACAAUAGUUUUGUUUCGGCGAAUUUAUUGUUGUGCGGCGCGUUUUUGUUUUACGUUGUUGGUGGAGGAGAUUGCAGAUGGUGGAUCGUGACCGGUUAGUUGGCAUUGCCGAAGAACGAAGAAAGCAACGAAGUUCGACAGUAACGAGCACGAUAUAUGUGAGUUUUUUUUUGUUUUGGUUUUUUCAUUGUGUAUUUGUGAAGGGGGGUUGUUUUUUUUUUCAUUUCGCGUUCGUGCGCGCGCCAUUCAAGAAAAGAGAGAAAAGUUGAAAGAGAAAAAUGGUCAAAAUAUUUGUGAUAAUUUGUGUGUUGUGUCUGUUGGCUGUGUGAAAAAGCUCGUCGUUGUUUCGGUGUGAAGCAGUGUGUUUGUGUGUCGAGAAGCUGUGCUGUAAAUUGAGUGAAGAGUUUGUGCACGGUUUUUAUUUGAGCAGCUUGAGUGUACGUGUGUGAGUGAGUGAAAGUGUGUUGAUCAUCUUCCCGAACGCGGGAUCCCAUUAAAUCCUUGUUUACCAGAUGCGAGCAGCACCAGAUGGUGACGCUUUUCCUCCGAAGAAUCAUCAGUCAGUUCAAUCGUCCAGAAAUCCGAAGAUAAUGGUAUAACAUUCUUCCAGGCUUCUUUGGACUGAAGGU